rnacentral:lncRNA from 1 species
GAACACUAAUUCUCCGUCACCCGUCACCACCAUGGUAGGUGUUAUAGGGUCAAUUUUUCGCAAAAAUAGACACUACACGGCAGCAGCUCACAGCCACUUCAGCCUUCAUUUUUCGCACACAGACACAGUCUGACUUAGGAUUUUCAAACAUUAGCCAAACUAAGAACACACACAGAUUUACGGGUAAAACCCAACCUUUAUUAGUUCUCGCCGCAUAUACAAAGGACUCUCUUUUUAGACUUGGCUCACAUAUGUAAUGCUACUUGCCUUCUCCACAUGCGGAGAUACAAUCUAUAUAAAGGGGCUGCCAAUGGCAGUUACAAAGGGGCAGUUUCUACCAUGUGCCAUGCACAUGCCUUAGGUGGUUCCGAGUAGUUGCUACCAUGUCUUCCACUUUGUAGCCAACAGCCCAUGAUCUUAGAUCAUGUCUUCAACUUCCAGCACAUGUCCUUGAUCAUCAUCUUAGAUCAUGUCUUCGCCAUCAAAUUGACCUUCCCUUUCCAGUUCCCAACAGACAUAGAAACAUCAUAAGCCAUACUCACAAUGGCUUGUGCUUUGGUGUUCAUAGUCUUUAUGUAAGAGGGACAUUUCGACACUCUCAAUCGAUACUUAUGCACCAAACUGGCAGAAAUAAGGGUGUGAGUAGCGCCAGUAUCUACCAUAUCUAUCACACUUAUGUUCCCAAUCCUCAUCUAUAUGUGCAUCAGCAAAGAAUAAGGGUUCGUCUCGUUACUUGUAGCAUUUAGAAAUGAGAUAAAAUUCAACAAUUGCAAAGCAUUUACCCGCUCCCGAUUUGGACAGUCUUUGGCAAGAUGAGGUCAUCCGCACGUCCAGCAACCAUCAGUUUUCCUGUUUGCGACGCCUUUGUUUUGAACAACCCGAUCGACCACCUUGCCCUUCUCAACGACUUCUUCUCGAACUUCUUUCCUCCAUUCCCUUUCUUCUCCACCCUUUAGUUAGGUUAUGAAGUAGGAGGAAUAUCUGAAAGAGUACGGGUGCUGCGAUAGUCCACUAAUGAAUCUGCUACAGCCAUUCCUAAGAUCCUUCAUAGUCUGUCUCCUAAGUUCAUUCUGCGCCCAUGCUUGAAUUCCAGAAAUAAAGUUAUGCAAUUUGUCAUCAUCCGACAUGUUUUGAACAUCCAACAUUAAGGAAGAGAAUUCCUUAAUAUAAUCUCGAACAUAUCCUGUUUGUCGCAAGCGUUUCAAAUGGUCACUAGCAAGCUAAGAUGCAUUGCUAGGCAAUAAUUGGGCCUUCAUUUCUUUUAUGAGCUUCUCCCAUGUAUCAAUUUUUGGUCUGCCCGCACUUUCAUCGUCCACCAUACGAGUUCUCCACCACAAUAUAGCAUCUCCCGUUAGGUACAUGCUUGUAAUUGUGACCUUCUCUGGAUUUGAAACUUUGGCAGCAACAAAAUAUUGUUCCAUGUCCCACAGAAACUUCUCCAAUUCUUUUUCACUAUGCGUUCUACCAAACGCCUUUGGAUCAGGAAUCUUUAACUUCGAGCGUUCUUCAUUGCCUUGGCUUGGAUCAGCCAACGCCCGUCGAAGAACAUUGAUUUCGGCCUUCAAGUUGUCGACCUUCUUCUUCAGGUCUUCAACUACGCCAUCCGUUGAUUCACAACUUUGUUGGAUCCCAUCGCGAAACUGAUCUACCCUAUCCUUCAAACGGUAAAUCUCUAUUAUAAGAUAUGCCAUAUCCAAAGGAUCAUCGUUCAUGCCGAUUAGCGCCUCCAACCGUUGCACUCUAUCAAGUAAGUCUGAUCAAGGGCUACAACCAAAAAGCUCUGAUACAAAUUGUUACAGGGUCAAUUUUUUGCAAAAAUAGACACUGCACGGAAGCAGCUCACAGCCACUUCAGCCUUCACUUUUCGCACACACACACAGUCUGACAGGAUUUUCAGACUUUUGCCAAACUAAGAACACACACAGAAUUUACGGGUAAAACCCAACCUUUAUUGAUUUUCGCAGAAUAUACAAAGGACACUCUUUUUAGACUUGGCUCACAUAUGUAAUGCUACUUGCUUUCUCCACAUGCGGAGAUACAAUCUAUAUAAAGGGGCUGCCAAUGGCAGUUACAAAGGGACAGNNNNNNNNNNNNNNNNNNNNNNNNNNNNNNNNNNNNNNNNNNNNNNNNNNNNNNNNNNNNNNNNNNNNNNNCAAUGGUAGUUACAAAGGGACAGUUACAAAGGGGCAGUUUCUACAAUGUGCCAUGCACAUGCCUUAGGUGGUUCCGGGCAGUUGCUACCAUGUCUUCCAAUUUGUAGCCAACAGCCCAUGAUCUUAGAUCAUGUCUUCAACUUCCAGUACAUGUCCUUGACACCACUUAGUCACAUGCCAUGCACGAUGGCCUCUAGCCUUGCCCACGUUUUCUUUGUCUCCAGCCCCGCUUUGUCUUGGACCUUGCCUCGCCCUUAAUUCCAUAGCCACGCCCUGCUAUGAAUUAAGUCGUCCCACCGAUCCGCGCAUUCCUUUGCCGCGCUUUGCCUUGGACCUUGCCUCGCCCUUAAUUUCAUAGCCAUACCCUGUUAUGAAUCAAGUCGUCCCACUGAUCCGCGCAUACCUUUUGUUGCCUUGGAAUUUGCCUCGCCCUUAAUUUCAUAGCCAUGCCCUACUAUGAAUCAAGUUGUCCCACUUUUCCGCGCAUACCUUUGUCCGGCUUUGCCUUGAACCUUGCCUAGCCCUCAAUUUCUUAGCAACGCCUUGCUAUAAAUUAAGUCAUCCCAAAGAUCCGCGCAUGCCCUUGUCAAGUGCCAUGCUUCCAUUGGCCAUAACUGAUGCCCACGAACCAAGGCCUCCUUGCCAACACUCCAACUGCUUUGUCUAGCUGCCUUGCCUAAGCCCAUCACCAACUUAGACACACACCCAGCCUUGUACAUUGCUUGUCAAUGCUUCAGCGAAGCCAUGUCAAGGGGCAAUGCACAAGCCCUCAACAUGAAUUUGCCCGACAUUCAUCAAGUCACCUAAGCCCAUCACCAACUUAGACACACACCCAGCCUUGUACAUUGCUUGUCAAUGCUUCAGCGAAGCCAUGUCAAGGGGCAAUGCACAAGCCCUCAACAUGAAUUUGCCCGACAUCCGUCAAGUCAAUAUUUGGGGUCGUAACAGUAGGCCACUAUCUUACCAUCGAAAGUUGAUAGGGCAAAAAUUUGAAUGAUGCGUCGCCGGCAUGAUGGUCGUGCGAUCCGUCGAGUAAUCAUGAAUCAUCGCAGCAACGGGCAGAACCCACGUCGACCUUUUAUCUAAUAAAUGCAUCCGUUCCAAAAGUCGGGGUUUGUUGCACGUAUUGGCUCUAGAAUUACUACGGUUAUCCGAGUAGUAGAUACCAUCAAACAAACUAUAACUGAUUUAAUGAGCCAUUCGUAGUUUCACAGUCUGAAUUUGUUCAUACUUACACAUGCAUGGCUUAAUCUUUGAGAUAAGCAUAUGACUACCGGCAGGACCAGCCAGGUAGCAUUCCUCAUUGACGC